GAUGAACGCUGGCGGCGUGCCUAAUACAUGCAAGUCGAGCGAACAGACGAGGAGCUUGCUCCUCUGACGUUAGCGGCGGACGGGUGAGUAACACGUGGAUAACCUACCUAUAAGACUGGGAUAACUUCGGGAAACCGGAGCUAAUACCGGAUAAUAUAUUGAACCGCAUGGUUCAAUAGUGAAAGACGGUUUUGCUGUCACUUAUAGAUGGAUCCGCGCCGCAUUAGCUAGUUGGUAAGGUAACGGCUUACCAAGGCAACGAUGCGUAGCCGACCUGAGAGGGUGGUCGGCCACACUGGAACUGAGGCCCGGUCCAGACUCCUACGGGAGGCAGCAGUAGGGAAUCUUCCGCAAUGGGCGAAAGCCUGACGGAGCAACGCCGCGUGAGUGAUGAAGGUCUUCGGAUCGGAAAACUCUGUUAUUAGGGAAGAACAAAUGUGUAAGUAACUAUGCACGUCUUGACGGUACCUAAUCAGAAAGCCACGGCUAACUACGUG
rnacentral:rRNA from 1 species